CCUCUAGUCUGAGAGAGCUGGACCUGAGUAACAACAACCUGCAGGAUUCAGGAGGGAAGCUGAUCUCUGAUGGACUGAAGAGUCCACACUGCACACUGGAGACUCUCAGUCUGUCAGGCUGUCUGAUCUCAGAGGAAGGCUGUUCUUCUCUGGUCUCAGCUCUGAGCUCCAACCCCUCCCAUCUGAGAGAGCUGGACCUGAGCUACAAUCAUCCAGGAGACUCAGGAGUGAAGCUGCUGUCAGCGGGACUGAAGGAUCCUCUCUGGAGACUGGACACUCUCAGGUACACACACUGAUCAAC